rnacentral:rRNA from 1 species
GCCUAUGGCCAUGCCACCCCGAACGUGCCCAAUCUCGUCUGAUCUCGGAAGCUAAACAGGGUCGGGCCUGGUUAGUACUAGGAGUACCAGGUGCUGUAGGCG